GCACAAGCGGUGGAGCAUGUGGUUAAUCGAUGAUACGCGAAAACCUUACCCGGGCUUGACAUGCAUCAGACAGGCGUAGAGAUACGCCCUCCGCGAGGCUGGUGCACAGGUGCUGCAUGGUUGUCGUCAGCUCGUGUCGUGAGAUGUUGGGUUAAGUCCCGCAACGAGCGCAACCCUUAUCCCCAGUUGCCAUCAGGUAAAGCUGGGAACUCUGGGGAGACUGCCGGUGAUAAACCGGAGGAAGGCGGGGAUGACGUCAAGUCCUCAUGGCCCUUACAUCCCGGGCUACACACGUGCUACAAUGGCAGGUACAGAGGGCUGCGAAGCCGCGAGGUGGAGCGAAUCCCAGAAAACCUGUCUCAGUCCGGAUUGAAGUCUGCAACUCGACUUCAUGAAGGCGGAAUCGCUAGUAACCGCGAAUCAGCAGGUCGCGGUGAAUACGUUCCCGGGCCUU
rnacentral:rRNA from 1 species